rnacentral:rRNA from 1 species
AUACGUAGGUGGCAAGCGUUGUCCGGAAUUAUUGGGCGUAAAGCGCAUGUAGGCGGCGUGUUAAGUCUGUCGUGAAACUGCGGGGCUCAGCCCCGUAUGGCGAUGGAAACUGAUGUGCUUGAGUGCAGGAGAGGAAAGGGGAACUCCCAGUGUAGCGGUGAAAUGCGUAGAUAUUGGGAAGAACACCGGUGGCGAAGGCGCCUUUCUGGACUGUGUCUGACGCUGAGAUGCGAAAGCCAGGGUAGCGAACGGGAUUAGAUACCCCGGUAGUCCUGGCCGUAAACGAUGGGUACUAGGUGUGGGAGGUAUCGACCCCUUCCGUGCCGGAGUUAACGCAAUAAGUACCCCGCCUGGGGAGUACGGCCGCAAGGCUUAAACUCAAAUGAAUUGACGGGG